rnacentral:rRNA from 1 species
UACUAGAGUAGCACUCGCAUAUCAAUAAGCGGAGGAAAAGAAACUAACAAGGAUUCCCCUAGUAACGGCGAGUGAAGCGGGAAGAGCUCAAAUUUGAAAUCUUAAAGGGUUUCCCUUUACGAAUUGUAGUUUAAAGAAGUGUUUUCUGUUGAGGUUUUGGUAAAAGUUCUUUGGAAUAGGACAUCAUAGAGGGUGAGAAUCCCGUAUUUGACCUUUACUUUCAACUUUGUGAUACACUUUCAAAGAGUCGGAUUGUUUGGGAAUGCAGUCCAAAAUGGGUGGUAAAUUUCAUCUAAAGCUAAAUAUUGGCGAGAGACCGAUAGCGAACAAGUACCGUGAGGGAAAGAUGGAAAGAACUUUGAAAAGAGAGUUAAACAGUACGUGAAAUUGUCAAAAGGGAAGCGUUUGACACCAGUGUUGUUUUUCUGAAAAUCAAUUAAAGAACUGUUUAUGCUAAGUUGUUUAGACUUUAUCAGCUAUCUGUUUAGUUUUGAGCUUUUCUUUAAUGCACUUUUCAGUUAACAAGUCAACAUCAAUUUCUUUUGCUGUAAAAAAGCUUGAGGAAGGUGGCUUGAGAUUCGUCUUAAGUGUUUAUAGCCUCUUGCCUAUGCAGUCGGAGAGAUUGAGGUCUGCAGCGUAGAUCCUUCGGGGCUAAAUGCAUUUGUGCUAAGUUAUAGCAUUUUAUAGACAACUUGUUGACUAUGAUUUGUCUUGUAGCUUACUCGCUUAUGUUAUUUUACCUACGCUUAGGAUGUUGAGCGCAUGUCUCUCUCU